rnacentral:lncRNA from 1 species
GGACCAGGUGGCAUUCAGGGGCCAGGACACCGGAGGAAGAAAGUUAAACUCUUCUGUCUCAAUGGUCAUCUUGACUUGGGAGUGAGACCCCCAUUAAACUAAGCAAUCCCAGAUUGCUACAGAAGAGAGCUUUGAGGUAAGAUAUGCUAAAAAAAACUUCCUGUGUUGUCCACUUUGAUCAGGUUUAAAUUUCUGCUGUGUUAGGUUACUUUAAGACCUUGUGAAUAA